GACGAACGCUGGCGGCGUGCUUAAUACAUGCAAGUCGAACGGAAAGGCCCUGCGCUUGCGGGGUGCUCGAGAGGCGAACGGGUGAGUAACACGUGAGUAACCUGUCCCUGACUGUGGGAUAACUUUUGGAAACUGGGGCUAAUACAGGGUAGGAGCUCUUGCUGCACGGUGGGGGUUGGAAAGAUUCGGCGGUUGGGGAUGGACUCGAAGCUUAUCGGCUUGUUUGUCGAGUAGUGGCUUACCAAGGCUUUGACGGGUAGGCGGCCUGAGAGGGUGGACGGCCACAAGAGUACUAAGGGACGGCCCAGACGCCUACGGGAGGCAGCGGUGGAGAGUAUUGCACAGUGGGCGGGAGCCUGAUACAGCGGCGCCGCGUGCGGAAUGACGGCCUUCGAGUUGUAAACCGCUUUCGCCUGUGACGAGGAGUGAGUGACGGUAAUGGGUAAGAAAGCACCGGCUAACUACGUG
rnacentral:rRNA from 1 species